rnacentral:rRNA from 1 species
GACAGAGGAUGCAAGCGUUAUCCGGAAUGAUUGGGCGUAAAGCGUCUGUAGGUGGCUUUUUAAGUCCGCCGUCAAAUCCCAGGGCUCAACCCUGGACAGGCGGUGGAAACUACCAAGCUGGAGUACGGUAGGGGCAGAUGGAAUUCCGGGUGUAGCGGUGGAAUGCGUAGAGAUCCGGAAGAACACCGGUGGCGAAGGCGGUCUGCUGGGCAGUAGCUGACGCUGAGGCGCGACAGCGUGGGGAGCAAACAGG